UACGUAGGGUGCGAGCGUUGUCCGGAAUCAUUGGGCGUAAAGAGCGUGUAGGCGGCCCGGUAAGUCCGCUGUGAAAGUCCAGGGCUCAACCCUGGGAUGCCGGUGGAUACUGUCGGGCUCGAGUCCGGAAGAGGAGUGUGGAAUUCCUGGUGUAGCGGUGAAAUGCGCAGAUAUCAGGAGGAACACCAAUGGCGAAGGCAGCACUCUGGGACGUGACUGACGCUGAGACGCGAAAGCGUGGGGAGCAAACCGG
rnacentral:rRNA from 1 species